GGAAUUUUGCGCAAUGGGGGAAACCCUGACGCAGCAACGCCGCGUGAGUGAUGAAGGCUUUCGGGUCGUAAAGCUCUGUCAAGUGGGAAGAAAAUGCUCGAUAUUAAUACCAUCGUGUACUGACGGUACCACU
rnacentral:rRNA from 1 species